AACGUGGGCAACCUGCCUCAUAGAGGGGAAUAGCCUUCCGAAAGGGAGAUUAAUACCGCAUAAGAUUGUAGCUUCGCAUGAAGUAGCAAUUAAAGGAGCAAUCCGCUAUGAGAUGGGCCCGCGGCGCAUUAGCUAGUUGGUGAGGUAACGGCUCACCAAGGCGACGAUGCGUAGCCGACCUGAGAGGGUGAUCGGCCACAUUGGGACUGAGACACGGCCCAGACUCCUACGGAAGGCAGCAG
rnacentral:rRNA from 1 species